ensembl:snoRNA
UGCCUCAACCUGGGAAGAAUAGGCAUCUGGUUGGUCAUGCCCAUCUCCUAUCAGCCAGAGACAAAGCAACCCCCUGUUUGUCCCAACUUGGCUUUCCAUCUGUGCCCAGGCUUGGUUCAUGCCUUGGAUAUAUGG